GGGUAUGGCGGGUGCCUAUACAUGCAAGUCGAGCGAACAGAUAAGGAGCUUGCUCCUUUGACGUUAGCGGCGGACGGGUGAGUAACACGUGGAUAACCUACCUAUAAGACUGGGAUAACUUCGGGAAACCGGAGCUAAUACCGGAUAACAUAUUGAACCGCAUGGUUCAAUAGUGAAAGGCGGCUUUGCUGUCACUUAUAGAUGGAUCCGCGCCGUAUUAGCUAGUUGGUAAGGUAACGGCUUACCAAGGCAACGAUACGUAGCCGACCUGAGAGGGUGAUCGGCCACACUGGAACUGAGACACGGUCCAGACUCCUACGGGAGGCAGCAGUAGGGAAUCUUCCGCAAUGGGCGAAAGCCUGACGGAGCAACGCCGCGUGAGUGAUGAAGGUCUUCGGAUCGUAAAACUCUGUUAUCAGGGAAGAACAAAUGUGUAAGUAACUGUGCACAUCUUGACGGUACCUGAUCAGAAAGCCACGGCUAACUACGUGCCAGCAGCCGCGGUAAUACGUAGGUGGCAAGCGUUAUCCGGAAUUAUUGGGCGUAAAGCGCGCGUAGGCGGUUUUUUAAGUCUGAUGUGAAAGCCCACGGCUCAACCGUGGAGGGUCAUUGGAAACUGGAAAACUUGAGUGCAGAAGAGGAAAGUGGAAUUCCAUGUGUAGCGGUGAAAUGCGCAGAGAUAUGGAGGAACACCAGUGGCGAAGGCGACUUUCUGGUCUGUAACUGACGCUGAUGUGCGAAAGCGUGGGGAUCAAACAGGAUUAGAUACCCUGGUAGUCCACGCCGUAAACGAUGAGUGCUAAGUGUUAGGGGGUUUCCGCCCCUUAGUGCUGCAGCUAACGCAUUAAGCACUCCGCCUGGGGAGUACGACCGCAAGGUUGAAACUCAAAGGAAUUGACGGGGACCCGCACAAGCGGUGGAGCAUGUGGUUUAAUUCGAAGCAACGCGAAGAACCUUACCAAAUCUUGACAUCCUUUGACCGCUCUAGAGAUAGAGUCUUCCCCUUCGGGGGACAAAGUGACAGGUGGUGCAUGGUUGUCGUCAGCUCGUGUCGUGAGAUGUUGGGUUAAGUCCCGCAACGAGCGCAACCCUUAAGCUUAGUUGCCAUCAUUAAGUUGGGCACUCUAAGUUGACUGCCGGUGACAAACCGGAGGAAGGUGGGGAUGACGUCAAAUCAUCAUGCCCCUUAUGAUUUGGGCUACACAC
rnacentral:rRNA from 1 species